rnacentral:rRNA from 1 species
UUGUCCUACGGGACGCAGCAGUGGGGAAUAUUGCACAAUGGGGGAAACCCUGAUGCAGCGACGCCGCGUGAGUGAAGAAGUAUUUCGGUAUGUAAAGCUCUAUCAGCAGGGAAGAAAAUGACGGUACCUGACCAAGAAGCCCCGGCUAACUACGUGCCAGCAGCCGCGGUAAUACGUAGGGGGCAAGCGUUAUCCGGAUUUACUGGGUGUAAAGGGGGCGCAGACGGCGAUACAAGCCAGGAGUGAAAGCCCGGGGCCCAACCCCGGGACUGCUCUUGGAACUGCGUGGCUGGAGUGCAGGAGAG